rnacentral:rRNA from 1 species
UGGGGAAUUUUGGACAAUGGGGGCAACCCUGAUCCAGCAAUGCCGCGUGUGUGAAGAAGGCCUUCGGGUUGUAAAGCACUUUUGUCCGGAAAGAAAUCGCCCUGGCUAAUAUCCGGGGUGGAUGACGGUACUGGAAGAAUAAGCACCGGCUAACUACGUGCCAGCAGCCGCGGUAAUACGUAGGGUGCGAGCGUUAAUCGGAAUUACUGGGCGUAAAGCGUGCGCAGGCGGUUGUGCAAGACAGAUGUGAAAUCCCCGGGCUUAACCUGGGAAUGGCAUUUGUGACUGCACGGCUAGAGUGUGUCAGAGGGGGGUAGAAUUCCACGUGUAGCAGUGAAAUGCGUAGAUAUGUGGAGGAACACCGAUGGCGAAGGCAGCCCCCUGGGAUAACACUGACGCUCAUGCACGAAAGCGUGGGGAGCAAACAGGAUUAGAUACCCUGGUAGUCCACGCCCUAAACGAUGUCAACUAGUUGUCGGGUCUUAAUUGACUUGGUAACGCAGCUAACGCGUGAAGUUGACCGCCUGGGGGAGUACGUCGCAAGAUUAAAAC